rnacentral:rRNA from 1 species
CAAACUGGGAUUAGAUACCCCACUAUGCUUAGCUCUAAACACAAAUAAUUAUAUAACAAAAUUAUUCGCCAGAGUACUACUAGCAACAGCUUAAAACUCAAAGGACUUGGCGGUGCUUCACACCCUUCUAGAGGAGCCUGUUCUAUAAUCGAUAAACCCCGAUAGACCUCACCAAUCCUUGCUAAUACAGUCUAUAUACCGCCAUCUUCAGCAAACCCUAAAAAGGAACAAAAGUAAGCACAACCAUAAUACAUAAAAACGUUAGGUCAAGGUGUAACCUAUGGAGUGGAAAGAAAUGGGCUACAUUUUCUACAUCAAGAAAACUUAUUACGAAAGUUAUUAUGAAACUAAUAACCAAAGGAGGAGUAGUAAACUAAGAAUAGAGUGCUUAGUUGAAUUAGGCCAUGAAGCACGCACACACCGCCCGUCACCCUC